GAAGCUCAGUAUUAAUGAUUUUCUCAUGGGAAAACGUGCAAUAGUCAACACAAAGGAAACUGUUUAUUUGUGUACAUGGAGACAAAUUGUCUUGUUAUUUCACCAACAGUUUCUCAUACAGAAAAAACAACAUUAGAAGCCCUGUAGGGAGCUAACAGCCUUGGAGUUGAUUGUUUUUAUGUCUUUUUUUUUGUUAUUACUUUUUCUCUAUUUGAGGUUUAUGCAUUGAAACCUCUUGGUUUGGGUUACAAAGUAGUGUCAGUGUCAGAUAACUUUGCACAUUGUAUACUUUUUUCACAUUGCUGCUGAAGGUUUCUUAUCUAUAGGCCAAAACAGUUUGCACAAACAACCUUGGGGAUCGUUUUCUGGGGAAAGAGGAUCUCAAAACAAGCACUUUGGCAUGACUAUUGUAUUUUUCACUUAAAAAUUUUCCAGGUUUUUGCCAAAUUAAUGUGCAUUUCUAUCAUAGUCUACAUAUAAAAGAUGGUCCUAGGCACCAUCAUUUCACUUACAGCUUUUGAACAUUUUUAAGCAUCAACAUUUUCUCUGCAGCCAUGCUGGGGUUGUUUUUUUUGUUUUUUUUUAGCCAUAUCUAGAUAAGAUUAUGGAUCACUAACAUAGCAAAGUGCAUUCAUAUUCACCAGAACUCAAUCACAGACUUAUUGGAAGCGCUGCUAGCCUUAUUUAAACACAUAGUAAGUCUUAUUGACUCUGAUAAUUGCAUUAAAAAUGCUCCAAAGGGCCCACAGAAAUAUUGAGAGGUCCAGUUUAGUGAACUGAAUUAACAGUUGUGGGUUUUUUGUUCUGCAGGAUGCCAUUUUAUUUCGCAUAUGUCUGACUUUACUAAUCCCUGUGGUGUCAGGGAGAAAUGCAAAAAAAGACCAAAUGGAACAUAGUGAUUGAAAGUAAAAAACUGAUUUGAAUAUUGGAGUAUUUUUGGAAGAGAGAUCUAAAAUGGAGCCCCUGUCAGGACGAGACAAGUCCAGUCUUUCAUUCUCAAACGCAAAAGAAAUACUAUUUGUGGUGUCCUUUUAAGCA
ensembl:lncRNA